rnacentral:lncRNA from 1 species
CCUCAGUCAGUGGGAGCCUGUUGUUUGGCAAAGCCCUUACUGAGAGCUGCUACUGCAAAUUCUGCGAGUGGAACUGGGAAAAUAUGUGCCCUGCUUGUUACAUCCGCCUGAUGUAGGCAGCUGCACGGAGCACUGCUGCUCAAUUACAGACCAGGACUCCCAGGGGCUGCAUUCCCACCGGAGCUUUGUGCUGGCAUUUUCCAUUUCCCAGUGAGCUGGGAGAGCUGCAGGAAGGGGCCACUGAGAGGAGGCAGCCAGCAGCACCAGGCAGAGGAGAGAUGUGUGAGGGGCUCUGCUGGGGAAGCGGUAUCUGGGAGGCAUGGAGAAGUGGCAGUCAGCACUUCUGCCUGACGUGGCCUGCUGUAAGGGACCGACUGGACAGGGCAUGAAGGUACUUCUUGUUACAAUCACCACCUGGGGCAGCCAAAUUAUUUCCUAUUCCAGCUUUAUUCUUUUGAACAAGACAUCCAAGUUGAGCACGAGAGACUUUCUGAAGUUGGAUCUCCCCCCAUCCUGCCAUGCGUGCAUGGUGCAUGACCUGCAACACAGCUUGGGCUGUCUCCCAGGCCCCAAGGCUGGACGUGUUUGCUCUGAACAAUUCUCAUCCUAAAGUUAGCUUCUUCACACCAGGUUUUGGUGCUAUUAAAGCUGCUUCCAGGGGUUAUGGAGUCCACGCUGACAUUUUCAGGUGGGGUUAAUGAUUUAAUGUGACUCAUAUGUCAGUGCUAGCUCACUCAGGUCUCACAAAAAAGCCAACCGAUGACUCAGGAUGUCUUUUUAUCAUCGUGUUUAGAUGAUGGGUGCUUACAGUGUCCAAGAUUUCUAAAAGAAAGACGUAAUACAUGUUUGGCAGUUUUUUGUCCCUACUAUCUCUUUACAACUUCUUGAAGUGAUUAGAUAGCCCUUAUCAGAAAUAGGUCACAUCUCCCAGAAAACCCCAGGCUGUUGGCUCCCUGCUGCUGAUAGUGGGUUGGGUUUAAAGAGGACAUAGUGGUUAAUGUUUUUGCAGUUAGCAUGUGACUCCUGCCACAGGAGACACACAAGCAAGAAGAGAAAGGGGAUAUGUGCUUCAUGCCAGGGUUGCUGAGUGCAAAAGACAGAAUCAUUCCGGCCUCAUGUAGGCAUGUGUGAAGCCAAUAGAAAGGAACCCAUCAAUUUUAACGUUUUGCAAACCACUAGUAGUGUGAAAGAAGACAACUAACAAGAACAUUACUGAAAUAGUGUUGUGCUUUACAGGUGCUGGUGUGCACAGCCCUGGCACUCAGAUUUGUGCCCUAACAGAGGAAUGGUCCCAGCUUAGAAACAGGUCCACACCAGGAUGAGACUUGUGCAUGGCUCUUCGCUCUGCUCCUGCUUUCCCUGGAGCACAGUACAGAAAGGAGCCACAGGAUAUUCCAAGUAAAUUCAGUCAUCCAUCCUACCUUGUAGGUUAGAUGCAGCCAACGAGAACACUAGCUCCAUAGGAGAGACAUUUAUUCGGUAGAAUGCUUCCAAGUGCAUUCCCUCAUUCAUUUCUUUCAAUGAGCUAAAAUAGCCUUUUUUUCAGACACAGUCAAUAAUCAGUAGUCCAUUGAAUGCUGCAGUUAGACACUGACAACUUUCUUAGCAUU